rnacentral:rRNA from 1 species
GACAGAGGGUGCAAACGUUGUUCGGAAUUACUGGGCGUAAAGCGUGUGUAGGCUGCUCUGCAAGUCGGAUGUGAAAGCCCUGGGCUCAACCUAGGAAGUGCAUUCGAUACUGCGGUGCUUGAGGACUGGAGAGGAGACUGGAAUUCAUGGUGUAGCAGUGAAAUGCGUAGAGAUCAUGAGGAAGACCAGUGGCGAAGGCGGGUCUCUGGACAGUUCCUGACACUGAGACACGAAGGCCAGGGGAGCAAACGGG